GUUUCUUUCAAAUGAGUGUGUCAUGUUGUGUCGCCCUAGCGCCAGUUUUAAAAUAUACAUUCAGUAUUUUGUGAAAAUUCUAAUGAGUUAAUAAAGAAAAAAACUUUUUGGUCAUUUUGUGUUUAAUAGACACAUUUUAUUUAUUUAUUUAUUUAUUUACAAUAGCCUGAUUAUUUGUCAGAAUUCCAUUAGAUUUCUAUUUAGUUUAUUUGAGAUUGUGUCCACUAACUAGAACCGUCUUUGAGAAAAUACGUUUUCCUUGUUUGUAACACUAUUAUAUCUGUAUCAGUCUUUUUCUGUUGGCAUAUUUGGAUUAGUUUAAGUUUGAAAGUUAUGUCUUAAUAUAAAUGUGAACAGUGAGAACUUCUCUUUCAAUUACAUUUCUCUAACCUGACUGAGCUAUUACAUCAGCUGUGUGCUUUGACGAAUAUUCACGUUUAUUAUCUAUAAAUCUUAGUUUAAAAAAAUAAAAAUAAUCUGACGUCAUCCUUAAACGCGUCCAUCUAGGAACCGUUACUAAUUACCCGGUACAUUUACAGGUUGACCCGCAAAAGCGAUUCAGUCAGUUUUGGUAUAUAUUACUUUAUUAAAGAUUAAGAAUGUGUUUUAACGGUACCAAUGUACAUAUGGACAAACUAGACCAAAUGCGCAAAAGACUCUGUUUAUUACAGUUUAUCCAGUUACUAUGAUUCAACUACGAAAAAGACGUCAGUCAGUCAAUUUAGUGACGAACCCUACAUCCAGCCAUGUGUCGUGUUUUUACCGUGAGCUGCCGAGCUCGUCUGCUGCCAGGCCACUGCCAGUAGUUUGACCAUCACAAAUUGGAUCAAAACCAGUGACUUUAAUUAACUGAAUGCCAAAAUGAGCUAUUUUUUCGAACUGGGAUACGGCCUAGGGUUGUUCAUUAUCAUUUUCAUCUGUGUGGGUAUCGUCGGUUGCUGUGUAGCUCUCUGCUGCUGCUGUUGCAAGAAAAGAAACCCGCAAAGGCACCAAAAUGUGACUACAGUAGUGUACACACAUCCGUCUUCUUCCCAAAUACCCGUUUCUGGGCCUCAGCCACAGUACCCAGCUUACCAGCCAGUACCUCAGCAAGCACACGGCGUACCUUACAUGACAGCACCUCCACCAUCAUACCAGGAAGCUACUGAUCCAGCUCUCUUGCCACACAACCCAGGGAUGAUGUUCCUCCACCCCAGUCAGCCUUCUGGGCACUCAGACGUGCACACACAGUUGCCCUACAAUCCUGCUUUUUACCCAAACACAGCCUCAUUUAACCAACCUGUCAAUAAGUACUGAGUACCACUAGAUGGCGCCACCGUGUUAUGCAUUCCAUUGCAUUCCGCCACCUUCUUAUGCAUUCCAAACAGUCACAAAAGGGUCAAACCUGCUGAUGGUGCUGUAGCUGUGAAGAAAAAUGCCCUCAUAAAUAAUGUUUUGUUUACGUAUUGCUUGCAAUCAAUCGAUAUAGGAUUGAUUUACACAAUUGUUGGUCAAUCCACACACAAAGCUUAAGAAAUGAAACUAUUGCCGUGGCCUUGAUUAUUGAUACUGUUAAACAUCACUAUUUAAGGUCAGUAAAGGUCAGGUCAGUAUAGAACAGCUUUUAUGCACUGUGUAAAAAAUAUUAUUGAUGUCUGUCUGCCUGUGCUAAAGUGAGUUAUGAUAUGGAGAUUUGUAGUUUGGUAUGAUUGUGUCAAUUAUGGCUAAAACAUGUACCGUAUUCUGUAUGUCUGCAGCAUGGGAGGUGGGGCUUGAUGGAAAUUCUCAUAUCAUGAAGGAUCAAAAGCCAAAUACUUUUCUACUGUUUUUUAAUAGGUUUGUAAAACACAAGCAUUAUGUCUUAAAUAGUUCCCAUAAUGCAAUAAAAAUGUUAUUCCCUGCAGUGGGAUGAAACUGCAGUGUUCUGUUCCCGUUCUUCCUUUGGGAUCAUGUGUGGUUGAAUAGCUUUAGUGGGUGUGCUUGCAUUUAAUCCCAUAAUGUCCAGGGCCACUCCCUCUUAUUGCAUCCCUCGCUGUCCAUUAAUCAAUACAGUAUUAGUGCUGACCACAGCAAUCUCAGUCACCAGAUUGGCUCUGGGCUGUGAUGGGAAAACGGCGUGUACAGUACUUCCACCUUAGUGUCUAAAAUAAGAAGCUUUCUCCUUGAAGUGUGGCUCAGACUGCUAAUGAGCAAGGAGGCCAGGCUCAUG
ensembl:lncRNA